GCGGGGUCUCUGUCAAACAUGACUCGUAUUAUUCGGCGGGAGGAAGUGUCCUGGCAUUGAUUGGAAAUGUGCUUUUGUAAAAAUCUUCCCUCCUCACGUAUUACGAGCUAUAACCUUGUAAUGUGUUUCUACUCAUCGAGGUGAAAGGAAACGAACCUCUCGGAAAGUUUAUACUUGGAAAAAGAUCCCCUCGUCUGCCACUACACUUCUCUGGAAUUGACACAACUCAGUGACGCAUUUAUUCUCGUUAUAAAGGGUUCAAAGAACCGGACCCCCAGCUCCACCCCUCCCUAUUUUCUUCAUUAGCUCCCUCCGAGGGGCCACCGAAAAGAGCGGUGGGUAUAGGCCCCCUCUCCUCGAGCUAUGCCCCUGGCUUAAAUCAUUGUAUUCACGUUUCCCUUGUUGACUCACUUUUUUCAAAUAGUUUAAAAAAACACCUUUUUUUUCCUGUUUCAAACAGGGAUUGCUGCAAAAGUCGUUGCAUGGUGGACUGCUGUUGUAUUCAAGCCACACAAUAAAGCUACUUCCUUUAUUGUAAGCAGUCUCUUAAGAUAAUACAGCCAUCAGGAGCCAAGCAAGCAGUGAGCCAAGCAAGACUGCUCUCUCAUUGCUCUCUGCUCUCUUUUAUACAUUAGAUACACUGAUCCCUUUCAGCUGGUUCUCAUACUCAACCCCUUUAAGGAACAGUAUUUUAAAAUCACAUCACCAUAUUUCUCCCCACUUAAUUAAAAUUAACACACAAUUUUUACAUUAUAUAAUCCUUAGUCCAUACUGGUAAACGUCUUGCACGAACUGACCACCCUUCAGCUCCCCUUUGCUCUUGAUCCUGUUCAUUUCCUCUUUGAACCUCUUCUCUGGAUUGGAAUUCAGCCACUGGGUCGGAAUUAUCGGGUGCUGUUUGUGAAAUGCCACCCUCUCCUUACUCACAGGAGCCAAAUGGGAAGCAUUCCACACUCUCCCACCCGACUACUGAUAGGUAUACUUUCCUUUCCUUUCAAUGACUUUAUGAGGAGAUGUAAAUCUACUCUUCCCUUUUCCUCUAAUUCCUGGUUUCUUCACCCGUACAUAUGAACCACAUUUAAAUUCUCGUUCCUUAGCCCCCUCAAGACUGAUCUAUAUACACUCUGGACUCCUCUUGUUUCUUUUCCACCCUUCUCAUAUCCUGCUCUGAAUAAAUUUCUGGCCUUGAUUUUACUACCCCAGCCACAUUCAAGUUAGUCUGCAUUUCUCUCCCAUGCAACAAUUCCACAGGUGAUUUCUGUAUUAUUGCAUGUUGUGUAGCUCUAUAUACCUGCAAGAAUUCAGUAGUACAGGCUUUCCAUGCUUUCCCUUCUAGUCUUGCUGUUUGUAAGCUAUCUUUUAAGGUUCUAUUGAACCUUUCAAUUUCCCCAUUCGCUUGGAGUUAAUAUACAGGUGUUCUCCUAUGUAUGAUAUUACGUUCUGUUAGAAAUGUUUCAAAUUCCCAAGAGAUAACCUGAGUCCCAUUAUCAGAAGAUAUCUCUUUAGGAUUUCCUUCCCUACUGAAAACACUAGUAAGAAAUUUAACAACUAUAGCAGAAGUAGUUUGUGAUGGGAAUGCUACUUCAAGCCAUUUACUAUAAUAAUCAAUUAAAGUAAUGUCAUAUUGGCAAUCCACAGAAGCCCCAUCCAAAGGGCCUACUAUAUCAAUGGCUACCUUUUCCCAAGCAUCAUCUUGAAGUGGCACUGGCUGUAAUGGUAUAGGCCUUGUUAUUGCUGUCUUAUCAUAUGACUGGCAAAUAGUGCAUGAUUUUAUUGCUGCUUCCACUUGGGAAUCCAUUUCUAGCCACCAAUAUAAAUCCCGCAAUCUUUGUUUAGUUCUCACCACUCCUUGAUGAGUAUCAUGUGUCAACUGUAUAAUCAUUUGCUGUAAUUCUUCUGGCACAAGCAGCCAGUAUGCCCCCUGGGGCACAUAUUCAUCCUGCACUGAAAGUUCCUCCUAAAUCCUAUAAUAAGGCAGCAACACAGGCCUGAUCUUCCUCUUAUGCUUAGGCUACUUGCCCAUCAUAUAUUCGCACAAACUCUGCUGAACUGGACAUGUCCUGCAUGCAGUCUGAAAUUGUUCUUUUGUCACUGCCAUAAGGGCAUUAGAGAUAAUUGUGACUACUUCCUCAUCACCUCUAUCAACCAUUACUUCUGAAGCUGGUAAAGGCAAUCAGGAUAAACAAUCAGCUGUAACAUUAUGUAUUCCCGGUCUAUAUUCCAUCUCAUAAGUAAAAGCAAGCAAUUUUGCAGUCCACCUAGCAAUAUGACUACCUGCUUGUCCCAUUCCUUUUGUGGUCAAUAAUGCUGUUAAUGGUUUAUGAUCAGUACAUAGCUUAAACAUCUGACCCUACAGGUAAGUUCUCCAUUUUUCAACAGACCACACACAUGCAAGCGCUGCCUUUUCAACAGUUGAAUAUUUCCUUUCCACAUCAGUAAGUGUUCUUGAUGCAAAUGCAACAGUUUUCUCUACAUUCCCUUCAUAUACCUGUGUAAGUAUUAUUAUUAUUAUUUAUUCGAUUUCUAUACCGCCCUUCCAAAAAAUGGCUCAAGGCGGUUUACAGAGAAAUAAUAAAUAAAUAAGAUGGAUCCCUGUCCCCAAAGGGCUCACAGUCUAAAAGAAACAUAAGAUAGACACCAGCAACAGUCACUGGAAGUACUGUGCUGUGGGUGGAUAGGACCAGUUACUCUCCCCCUGCUAAAUAAAGAGAAUCACCACGUUAAAAGGUGCCUCUUUGCCAAGUUAGCAGGGGUUAGCUGUAUAGCACCUAGCUCAUAAUCAGAGGCAUCUGUUGUCACAAUUAUAGGUAACACUGGAUCAAACAAUAUCAAUGCAGGGCUAUCAACAAUUAACCUCUUAACAUUCUCAAAAUUUGUCUGUGCUGCUACUGUCCAAUUCAAACUUGCAGUUCCCCUUAACUCUCAAAGAUGCUCCACCACAGAUGCAUAAUUUGGAAUGAAUUUAGUAUACCAUGAGGUCAAACCCCAAAAGGAACACAAAAUCUGCAUAUCCCUUGGGGAAGGUGCCUCUAGGAUUGCUGCCACAUGAUCACUCUUAGGCUUCAAUCCCUGAACUGAAAUGGUAUGACCCAAGAAGAAAAGUUCUGUUUGUCUCCAUUUACAUUUUUCCAAAUUAAGCCUCAACCCUGCUUCCUUAAUGCAAUCCAAAACUGACCUCAAAUUAUUUUCAUGUUCUUCCACAGUUUCUCCAAAUACAAUUAUAUCAUUGAAAUAACAUUGUGCCCCUUUCUGUUCUUUCAAAAUAAUAGACAUCAUUCUCUGGAAAGCACUAGGUGCUAAGGCAAGCCCAUAAGUAACAUGGUUAUACUGGAAAAGUCUAUCAUGAGUAAUAAAUGUUGUAAGAUCUCUACUAUCUUCAUCAGGGCUGUCCUUAGGGCAUGGCAAGCAGGGCGACCGCCCCGGGCCCCACUUUUUUAACCCCCAUUGGAAUUAACUGGAAGGGGGCCCCGCACUGACUGAUUUGCCCCGGGCCCUACACCCCACCAGGGCUCUCUAAGGACAGCCCUGAUCCUCAUGCAAUAGAACUUGAUGAUAUGCACUUUGUAAAUCAAGGGUUGAAAACAUCUUUGCCCUUCGUAAUUCUGAGAAUAUUUCCUCUAUAUGAGGGAGUGGGUGUCUAUCAGUUACAAUGGCCUUAUUAGGCUCUCUUAAAUCCAGACCAUCCUUCUUCUUUUUCACUACUAUAAGUGAAACCCAUUCUGAGGAUUCGACCUCUUCAAUAAUAUCAUUUGCCCUCAUUUCCUUAAGUUCCUGUGAUACUGCUGCCCUGAGCAUAAAUGGUAAUCAUAGUAGUUUUUGUUGUAUAGGUACCACAUUCUGUUUCAUUUCGAGUUUAUGAAUAAACCCCUUAGCACAACCCACUCCAUUCUGAUACUGCUCCUCCCCUAUAGUUGCAACAGGUAUGUCUUUUGAAGUAGUUUUUAACUGGGGAGGCACAACCUUUCCAUCUAUUACUCACAAACCUAAUGCAGCAAAUUUCUUUCUCCCAAGAAUAGGAAUACCACAAGAAGCAAUAUAAAACUCUGCUACUGUACUACAUGGGCCAAAUGUUAUCCUUACAGUGCCAGCGAUGUACAUGGAACUUUACAGAGAAUACGAGCAAGCAAGCAAGCAAGCAAGCAAGCAAGAAAGAAAGAAAGAAAG